GAGUUUGAUCGUGGCUCAGAUUGAACGCUGGCGGCAGGCCUAACACAUGCAAGUCGAACGGUAACAGGAAGCAGCUUGCUGCUUCGCUGACGAGUGGCGGACGGGUGAGUAAUGUCUGGGAAACUGCCUGAUGGAGGGGGAUAACUACUGGAAACGGUAGCUAAUACCGCAUAAUGUCGCAAGACCAAAGAGGGGGACCUUCGGGCCUCUUGCCAUCGGAUGUGCCCAGAUGGGAUUAGCUUGUUGGUGGGGUAACGGCUCACCAAGGCGACGAUCCCUAGCUGGUCUGAGAGGAUGACCAGCCACACCGGAACUGAGACACGGUCCAGACUCCUACGGGAGGCAGCAGUGGGGAAUAUUGCACAAUGGGCGCAAGCCUGAUGCAGCCAUGCCGCGUGUAUGAAGAAGGCC
rnacentral:rRNA from 1 species